ensembl:snoRNA small nucleolar RNA SNORA17
UAUGAGCUAGGUCCACCCCUAAAGGCUCCUCAGGGGUGGCUGCUGUGUCACGUUUCCAUCAGUAGGUGGCAGAGAGGAGAGAGGCUAAGUCUAUGCUCAGUGUCCUGACCUGUGCACAUCUGAAUGAUCAGUAACCUAACGCU